rnacentral:rRNA from 1 species
UACGUAGGGUGCGAGCGUUAAUCGGAAUUACUGGGCGUAAAGCGUGCGCAGGCGGUUUUGUAAGCCAGAUGUGAAAGCCCCGGGCUUAACCUGGGAACUGCAUUUGUGACUGCAUGGCUGGAGUGCGGCAGAGGGGGAUGGAAUUCCGCGUGUAGCAGUGAAAUGCGUAGAUAUCUGGAGGAACACCGGUGGCGAAGGCGGCAUCCUGGACCAAGACUGACACUGAGGAGCGAAAGCCAGGGGAGCAAACGGG